rnacentral:rRNA from 1 species
AUUGAACGCUGGCGGCAUGCCUUACACAUGCAAGUCGAACGGUAACAGGUCUUCGGAUGCUGACGAGUGGCGAACGGGUGAGUAAUACAUCGGAACGUGCCCGAUCGUGGGGGAUAACGAAGCGAAAGCUUUGCUAAUACCGCAUAAGAUCUAUGGAUGAAAGCAGGGGACCGCAAGGCCUUGCGCUCACGGAGCGGCCGAUGGCAGAUUAGGUAGUUGGUGGGAUAAAAGCUUACCAAGCCGACGAUCUGUAGCUGGUCUGAGAGGACGACCAGCCACACUGGGACUGAGACACGGCCCAGACUCCUACGGGAGGCAGCAGUGGGGAAUUUUGGACAAUGGGCGCAAGCCUGAUCCAGCCAUGCCGCGUGCAGGAUGAAGGCCUUCGGGUUGUAAACUGCUUUUGUACGGAACGAAAAGACUCUGGUUAAUACCUGGGGUCCAUGACGGUACCGUAAGAAUAAGCACCGGCUAACUACGUGCCAGCCGCCGCGGUAAUAC